rnacentral:tRNA from 5 species
GGCCCCAUCGUCUAGUGGUUAGGACGUCGGCCUCUCACGCCGGUAACACCGGUUCGAACCCGGUUGGGGUCACCA